UGGGGAAUUUUGGACAAUGGGGGCAACCCUGAUCCAGCAAUGCCGCGUGUGAAGAAGGCCUUCGGGUUGUAAAGCACUUUUGUCCGGGAAGAAAUCGCACCUGAUAAUACCGGGUGUGGAUGACGGUACCGGAAGAAUAAGGACCGGCUAACUACGUGCCAGCAGCCGCGGUAAUACGUAGGGUCCAAGCGUUAAUCGGAAUUACUGGGCGUAAAGCGUGCGCAGGCGGUUGUGCAAGACCGAUGUGAAAUCCCCGGGCUUAACCUGGGAAUUGCAUUGGUGACUGCACGGCUAGAGUGUGUCAGAGGGGGGUAGAAUUCCACGUGUAGCAGUGAAAUGCGUAGAGAUGUGGAGGAAUACCGAUGGCGAAGGCAGCCCCCUGGGAUAACACUGACGCUCAUGCACGAAAGCGUGGGGAGCAAACAGG
rnacentral:rRNA from 1 species